ACUCCUACGGGAGGCAGCAGUGGGGAAUUUUGGACAAUGGGCGAAAGCCUGAUCCAGCCAUGCCGCGUGCAGGAUGAAGGCCUUCGGGUUGUAAACUGCUUUUGUACGGAACGAAAAGACUCUGGUUAAUACCUGGGGUCCAUGACGGUACCGUAAGAAUAAGCACCGGCUAACUACGUGCCAGCAGCCGCGGUAAUA
rnacentral:rRNA from 1 species